GAAGACUGAUUCCAGGUUCUCCAUCGACAGAGACAUGAAUAAGAAGGCUCAAGAACAGAAAAUACCUAUCUACAAAUAUCCCCAAAGACACUGAAAUAUGAGAUGACACCUUUUCACAAUCUCCUCUGCACUGAGGGAAAAUAUCUUUGCCUGGAAGGGAGGAAAGUGGGGUACACCAUGUAUGAAAUAUGGAGACUACAGAGAGAAGCUAAAUCAGAUUCCUGAUUUCCAGUCAAGGGAUGCUAAUGAGGCAACUUCACUUUGCACCACGAUCCUGACACAUUGUGUGCCAACACCAGAGAGGAGGUGGACUGACGCAGGGACUGAGCGCGCAGCUGCCUCUCCUCAGGGCGAAGUAAUUAUUACCAAAACUCCUAAAAAAGCAUGGAUCUUCCUGCUGAAUAAUGACAGAAGUGAGCUGCAACGGGCACCAGAGCUAUGCAGUUCCAGUAAUUAGGGACUGUGCCUAAUCCUGGAAUUACUGACAUCUGUAUAUCAUUUCAAUGGUAAAUUACAGUUGGGACAUGCUAACCCCGAAGUGUGAGUAAGAACUGCUCCUAAGUGAUUGAAAACUUCUUGGCACUAUAGUUGCUUUAUAGUAAUUAGCUUAGUCUUCAUUCUCUUUUGAUAGUUGUGUAAAUUUUGUGCUAUUUUCUUAGCACCAGAGUUGAUUGUUUAAUCAGCAGAAGAAUGGUCUCUCUGGUAAAAAUUAGAUUUCAACUAAACCUCGUUUUGUGUAAAUUGCCCUUCCUCACUGACAGCUUCCUCUCCUUCCCUCCUUCUGCCCCCUCCCAGCCCCCACCUCCAGUGCAAGCAGAGGAAUGAUGGAAACCUGGAAUUACCAUUUCCAUGGAGAUGGUGUAAUUUCCUGAGUUGCUACAAAGUAACUUCAACUCCAAAACUCUUCUAACUGCUAAUUUGAGAAAAAGGGUAAUAAAUAAUACAAAUAUAUUAAUGGCUAAAAUAUAUUAUCUCAUUUUAGAUAUCUUACUCCCAGUUCUCUAAUAAUGCAUUCUGUGAUUGCCUAACAAGAGACUAAGCACAAGAAAUACAACAGUGUAACUCAAAAUUUGUGUUACUUAUGUCUGUUGCCAACAAAUAAUAUUAGAGUAACUGUUUAUACAUCUGUUAAAAGCUACUCUCCUUGAAAACAAUGAUGAAUAAUGACUUUAUAAUUUGGAAUAU